rnacentral:rRNA from 1 species
GUGCCAGCCGCCGCGGUAAUACGGAGGGUGCGAGCGUUGUCCGGAAUCACUGGGCGUAAAGGGCGCGUAGGCGGCCUGAUAAGUAGGGGGUGAAAUCCUGCGGCUUAACCGCAGGGCUGCCUUCUAAACUGUCAGGCUGGAGCACAGUAGAGGCAGGUGGAAUUCCCGGUGUAGCGGUGGAAUGCGUAGAGAUCGGGAAGAACAUCAGUGGCGAAGGCGGCCUGCUGGGCUGUUGCUGACGCUGAGGCGCGACAGCGUGGGGAGCAAACAGGAUUAGAUACCCUCGUAGUCC